AGUGAACGCUGGCGGUAGGCCUAACACAUGCAAGUCGAACGGCAGCACAGUAAGAUUUUUCUUUUACUGUUGGCGAGUGGCGGACGGGUGACGAAUACAUCGGAAUCUUCUUUUUCUUGGGUGAUAACGUAGGGCAACUUACGCUAAUACCGCAUACUUCCUACGGGUUAAAUCAGUGGUUCUUCGGACCUUUCGCGUUUCAAUUAGCCGAUUUCGGAUUAGCUAGUUGGCUUGGUAAAGGCCCACCAAGGCGACGAUCCGUAGCUGAUCUGAGAGGAUGAUCAGCCACACUGGAACUGAGACACGGUCCAGACUCCUACGGGAGGCAGCAGUGGGGAAUAUUGGACAAUGGGCGAAAGCCUGAUCCAGCAAUACCGCGUGGGUGAAGAAGGCCUUCGGGUUGUAAAGCCCUUUUGUUGGGAAAGAAAAGAAGCAGGUUAAUACGCGGAUGUUGUGACGGUACCCAAAGAAUAAGCACCGGCUAACUUCGUG
rnacentral:rRNA from 1 species